rnacentral:tRNA from 1 species
GGGCGAAUGGUUUAGUGGUAUAAUACUCCCUUAGCAUGUUUCUUCCGAAACCUCGAUUGGGAGUGGUCCAGGGUUCGAUUCCCUGUUCGUCCA